GAGGUUAAGCGACUAAGCGUACACGGUGGAUGCCCUGGCAGUCAGAGGCGAUGAAGGACGUGCUAAUCUGCGAUAAGCGCCGGUAAGGUGAUAUGAACCGUUAUAACCGGCGAUUUCCGAAUGGGGAAACCCAGUGUGACUCGUCACACUAUCAUUAACUGAAUCCAUAGGUUAAUGAGGCGAACCGGGGGAACUGAAACAUCUAAGUACCCCGAGGAAAAGAAAUCAACCGAGAUUCCCCCAGUAGCGGCGAGCGAACGGGGAGGAGCCCAGAGCCUGAAUCAGCAUGUGUGUUAGUGGAAGCGUCUGGAAAGGCGCGCGAUACAGGGUGACAGCCCCGUACACAAAAGCGCAUGUGCUGUGAGCUCGAUGAGUAGGGCGGGACACGUGGUAUCCUGUCUGAAUAUGGGGGGACCAUCCUCCAAGGCUAAAUACUCCUGACUGACCGAUAGUGAACCAGUACCGUGAGGGAAAGGCGAAAAGAACCCCGGCGAGGGGAGUGAAAAAGAACCUGAAACCGUGUACGUACAAGCAGUGGGAGCACCCUUUGGGGUGUGACUGCGUACCUUUUGUAUAAUGGGUCAGCGACUUAUAUUCUGUAGCAAGGUUAACCGAAUAGGGGAGCCGGAGGGAAACCGAGUCUUAAUUGGGCGUUAAGUUGCAGGGUAUAGACCCGAAACCCGGUGAUCUAGCCAUGGGCAGGUUGAAGGUUGGGUAACACUAACUGGAGGACCGAACC
rnacentral:rRNA from 1 species